rnacentral:rRNA from 1 species
AUUGAACGCUGGCGGCAGGCUUAACACAUGCAAGUCGAACGAGUGGCGGACGGGUGAGUAAUGCUUGGGAAUCUAGCUUAUGGAGGGGGAUAACUACGGGAAACUGUAGCUAAUACCGCGUACCAUAGGAUGAGCCCAAGUGGGAUUAGGUAGUUGGUGCGGUAAAGGCUCACCAAGGCGACGAUCUCUAGCUGGUCUGAGAGGAUGACCAGCCAAACUGGGACUGAGAAACGGGCCCGACUCCGACGGGAGGGAACAAGUGGGAAUCUUCCGAAAUGGAGGGAAAGUGACGGAGGAACGCCGGGUGGGUGAUGACGGCCUUCGGGGUGGAAAGGUCUGUUAAGCGGGACGCGUUACCGGAAUAGAAAGCCACGGCUAACUACGUGCCAGCAGCCGCGGUAAUUC